CUUGGGUUCCAUUCUGAGUCUUCCGCGUACAAGCUAUGGGAACAUGAGUGCGGGUCACCUUCCUGACUUGUUUUCCUCACCCAGGAGCCUGUCGGAGUUGGGUUGGGGUUAUGUGCGAUUUUAUUUGCAUGUUUUGGGAGCGAGACUGCGGAUACCACACUUACUUAAGGUGGCCACACCCAGGGUCCUGGAUUCCUUUGCUCUCAAAGCUGGAGCUGAAUAUUUAUCUGCAGCUGGAAAGAAGUCUGUGCCUGCACAAAAGGUGUGAAUGGAUAAAGAAUCAAUCCUGCAGACAUCCUAAGGUCAAAAAGUGAUGAUGAAGAAGUUCCUCCAGGCUUCCAACGCAGACU
rnacentral:lncRNA from 1 species